rnacentral:lncRNA from 1 species
GGGAUAGAAGAGCAUGAGUAGGCUAUGAUUGAUACAGACAUUGAUGUUGAGACAGAUGAUGUGUAAUACUAUGAUGUGGUCGUGAUAUGGUUGUGAUUGAGACAGGUGAUGUGUAAUACUAUGAUGUGGUCGUGAUAUGGUUGUGAUUGAGACAGGUGAUGUGUAAUACUAUGAUGUGGUCGUGAUAUGGUUGUGAUUGAGACAGGUGAUGUGUAAUACUAUGAUGUGGUUGAGAUAUGGUUGUGAUUGAGACAGGUGAUGUGUAAUACUAUGAUGUGGUUGAGAUAUGGUUGUGAUUGAGACAGGUGAUGUGUAAUACUAUGAUGUGGUCGUGAUAUGGUUGUGAUUGAGGCAGAUGAUGUGUAAUACUAUGAUGUGGUCGUGAUAUGGUUGUGAUUGAGGCAGAUGAUGUGUAAUACUAUGAUGUGGUCGUGAUAUGGUUGUGAUUGAGGCAGAUGAUGUGUAAUACUAUGAUGUGGUCGUGAUAUGGUUGUGAUUGAGACAGAUGAUGUGUAAUACUAUGAUGUGGUCGUGAUAUGGUUGUGAUUGAGACAGAUGAUGUGUAAUACUAUGAUGUGGUCGUGAUAUGGUUGUGAUUGAGACAGAUGAUGUGUAAUACUAUGAUGUGGUCGUGAUAUGGUUGUGAUUGAGACAGAUGAUGUGUAAUACUAUGAUGUGGUCGUGAUAUGGUUGUGAUUGAGACAGAUGAUGUGUAAUACUAUGAUGUGGUCGUGAUAUGGUUGUGAUUGAGACAGAUGAUGUGUAAUACUAUGAUGUGGUCGUGAUAUGGUUGUGAUUGCGACAGAUGAUGUGUAAUACUAUGAUGUGGUCGUGAUAUGGUUGUGAUUGCGACAGAUGAUGUGUAAUACUAUGAUGUGGUCGUGAUAUGGUUGUGAUUGCGACAGAUGAUGUGUAAUACUAUGAUGUGGUCGUGAUAUGGUUGUGAUUGCGACAGAUGAUGUGUAAUACUAUGAUGUGGUCGUGAUAUGGUUGUGAUUGAGACAGAUGAUGUGCAAUACUAUGAUGUGAUCGUGAUAUGAUUGUGAUUGAUGACAUGUGCAUAUUCAUUAUUCAUCCCAUGUGUGAACUAUCUGUUGCAUGAGUUCUGAGACACUGAUAUGAGGAUGGAUGGAUAUGAGACACAGUUGAGACUAGCUCCGGCUAGCGAUUUGGAUGCCGAUGGGAUCUGGUUCCGGCGGUG